rnacentral:lncRNA from 1 species
AAACAUGUAGGUUUUGUAUCAUUCUUAAGUUGCUGUAACAUUGAGAUGUGAAAUUUGGAGGAUUCGAAAUAAAUGCAGCUAAAUGGAACUUUUGGAUGAAGAAUCCCUGGUUUGUUCAGAUCUGUUAAAGUAAUAGGGGAAAGCACAAAAGGAUCAAGAAAAGGAAGGCCCCAAUCUUUGUUCGAUGACUGAUAAAACAGCAUUACUUGGGUGAAAAUUGGCCUGACCUUCACCUACAGGAUGCUUCCGCUGCCUCAGUGAUUCUUGCUUCGCUCUGAUUAGACUCUCCUCUAAAGCUCUGCUGGGAGAGGACGGCCGGAGAAAGACACAAGUCUCCCUCAGCUGGCUGGAACAGAAACAUCACUGAGUUACACCAGGUCCUAUUUGCCAUCCAUUUCUUCUUUUUGCCACAAAUAGAGCAUCAAAAUAGAUUGUUCAUUAGAAGGAACACGUCCAAGCUAUUGCCAACCUAUGUUGGCACCUAAAGACAUUAUAUGUGGUUUCCUCUUAACAAAAAAAGAAAAAGAAGAAGGUUAAGAAACUAAAAGCCCAGAAUCUCUGAAAUAAGUCUACACAACAC